UUCUUAACAGCGCACCUUUUGCCCAGCUGCGGGAUGGCCUGGAGUUUGUUUAUUUGUUUAUUUGUUUUUAUUAUUAUUUGUUUGUUAUUUGUUGAGAAUUUAAAAAAAUACAGAGGAAAAAUAGGGCUUCUGCCUUUACAGACAGACUCCUGAUCUGUCAACAGUGAGCACCACACGCGUCUGUAUUGACUAAAAAUCACUUGGACCAUAGAUCACUUUAUUGGCUGUUAGGAUGCUAAUGCAACAUGUGAGGUACCAAACAGUGUAUUUAAUAUUUUCUUGUCCUGCUCUGGUAGAAAUAUCUAGAAUAUGAACCAAAAAAAGCAGUUAAGAGUGAUUAGAAGCAUUUCUGGUAAACUUAGAUGUUAAGGAAGUUUCUGAUAUUAGGCUCUCAUCUCCACCAGACAGAUUUAUUGGCACAGAUCAAUUUUGAUAUCCGGUAGCUUGGUACCUCAGAAGAGGGACCCCAACAAAGAAAUUUCUGGGCAGCAAUGCACUUCUCAGCUUUGUACUGUUAGCUGUUGAACUCCUCCACUUCAAGAAACCAAUAUCCUGCAAACAUUUCUGUUAAUCAACUUAUCAACUGUGUUAUUUCCAAAUUAUUUGCACUUUUCUGUCCCCUUCUUCCCCUAUCCCCUGAUGACACUGGGACUGAGAGGUGAAAUACUGCUUAUCAGUGCCAAGGGGGGCUCUGUGUUGGUGUGCAGUGCUUAGGUAAGCAGAAGUAAGGACACCUCCUCUUGCAAAAAACUGUUCUCUCUGCCUGUUUUCUAGGAUGAGGCAGGUAUGGCCCUGAGAAGGUGCAGCUUGCAAACAACCAUUUUGGAGAGUGAGAAAAAGGAGGAAAGGGGUCUGUCUUCCAGUGUGGAAAAUGCAAACUGCAAGUCCCCAGUCCAUGUACAGUGACAGUGUCACACCUGGGCUGUGUCUUGGGCUAAGGAGUUUCUGUGUUUUUCUCACAAGGAUCAUGGUUAGGACUUAGCAAGGCUUAUGAGGCUGUAAAAGGUGUAUAUUACGUACGACUCCACAGCCUGGGAAGAGAAACAGACAUUUAAUGACAUCUGAGGACCGAGAUAAAAAAACUGAAGCAACUGCUUACACAGUCCCUGUGAGAAAAUACACUGCUUCCAUUCUUCUUGCGACACACAGGCUGCUGUCUGGCAGGCCAGCUGAACCACAGCCAGCAUGUCCACAGGCCUCUGCUGGCUCAGCACGCCGGGUGCAGUUGCCUGGUUGUUUCAUUACAGCUUGUUCUCAUGGGUUUUGCAAACCAGCUGCCACCUUCGCCUACUCUGUGCUGGGAGAAGGUAUUUCAGCUGUUUGUUCCUGAGCAGCUUUCUGGUUCUGUGUGGUCUGUUGAAUUAGUUUAGACAAGCUGCAGUCAUGAUGAACAGCGUUGGAAUGUGGGUGCUUUGAAUGGGGACUGGUAGUUCAGUGCCACUUUCAAAAGUUUCUUUUCACUUUAUGGGCUGAUUCCUGAUAUUUGUGUCCAACCAAGUGCCCUGUUCCCUCCUUCCACAUGUAACUUCUGCACAGGUGGUUAUUUGAAACUGUGCUGUGGUGAUCCCUUACACUGGAAGCUUCUCUCAUAAGAUGCAUCUCCUGUGCUCUGACAGUUAAAGCGUGGUAGCUGGGGACACUGUCUUCGUACCUGGAACGCCGGAAGAAUCCACACUGGGGCAGAGGAGAAAAAGAACAGUUUAGGUUUAAGUUGCUGCCAAAGUACUACAGUCAUAGAGGCAGUAAAUUCUUCCUUUGCACAAAUACAGAGGUAAGAAAAUUGAAAAGAAAAAUACAUAAGCCAAAAGUGUAGCAUACGUAGCUGUAAAAAUGUGAGGCAGCAGGUCUACAGCAGUUGUUCCAGCAGCACUUGAAGACAAAUGGCACAGUCUGACCAUAUGGUGGUAAUCUAGUACCUUAAAAAGAUUCCCUCCAGUGCAAAGCUGUUCAUUCAUCUCAUGAGAGCAUUUAUUGCUACACAGAGAAGUAGGUACAGUUCAGGAAAGCUACUUCUCUUGAAUCAAAGGUAAGUAUGUACUUUUGUGCCUUCCUGCACGGUGACAUGAUUUACCUGUAAAAUCUACAAAAAGACUUCCAGAACCUUCAAGAGAAGUUACACUGGGGCCUUGUUUUUCAAAGCACCAUCUCAACUACAGUCAUCUGAACUAAUUACACAUAUGCAGUAUUAGAAACACAAGUCUUGCUUACUUGGCCAUGGGAAAUCACUCUAGAUGAAAUCCUGUACAGUUUAGUUGUGCUCUGCUAUUUCUUAUCCAUGUAAAAACUGAUUUCUUAGCCAUGUAAAGACUGAUUUUAAAUAUAGAUGAACAGAUUGAAAGUAAUUUUCAAAACCAAAUGGAGCUAUGGCCACCAUGUCGCCAAGAUCAUGACUGGCAGACACAGCUUUACAUGCUUACGGAUCACUGAGGUAAGAUGAGGGUUAAGAGACAUUGUGCCAUCCAGCUGUCAUUAGGUACUGCUGGGGGUAAGAAGAGAUUAAAGUGGCAAGGUUUUUUUGUUCAUAGUGUUUAGAGUGCUGGGUUUUUUGGUUUUGUUUCGUUGGUGGUUUGAGGGUUUCUUUAGUAUUAGAACUUACAUGGAACUGAAUUAAAAACAAAUUAUAUUGUGAGCAUAGACAAAAUCUUCAGCCACGUCAUAGUUAAGAUUUCAUUAAACUUUUGACAUAGUUCAUUAAGAAUUCUUCCCCAUCCCCUGAUCCCAAGCAUCACUUACUGAUAUAAUGUACAAGAAUGUGAUAUCUUAAUUUGAAUAAAGCUUUCUGGAAGCAUAAAGCAUCUAGUACCUUCAGCAAAGUGUGUUCCUAGAAAAGUGUACCUUAGAACUCAAGUAAAACAGAUGUUUCCAUGCAAUAAAUUCUCAUUAUGAAAACUCCUCUCAUUAUAAGCAACAUGGACCUUUUAGCAUGCACUAAAGGUUAGUAAAGCACAUUUAUACGCCAUCCACAUUUAUAUAGCUUUACAUUUUAACUCUACAGUGUUGAUUACUGUCUUGCAAGCUUAAAUACUUACUUGUAGUGUUAAAACAUAACUUUAAAAAAAGACUAAACCCCAUUGCAAAAGAUCAAUAUGUUUUCUAAAGAAAUAAACAAGAAGUGUUUUAGACCAAGGUAAACACCUGUGUGCGUUCACAUGCACCAAAAGCUGAAAAUCUAUCAACAGCGUGAGCAAGCAAGUACAAUAGUUUGAAAUCCACAAGUUAAUAGAACUUAUGCAGAAAAAGCUUCACAGUUAGCCACCACAACCACAGCAUAUGCCACAGCUAGAAAUUAAAAAAUAUCAUCAGUUACCAAUUACAGAAGUAGAUCAAUACUAUGCAUCAGAAGUAAGCCUCUCUUUAUCAGAUGGCUGAGCAUGGAUCUCAGCCUUGUGAUAUGUGGCAUCGUAAUGAUCUUUCUUAUUUCUCUUGAAGAAACCACACUACAAGGAAGCAAGGUAUUUAGUCAAUUUUUGUGGACUGGAAGAUGUCAAACCAAUUAAAACUGACUUUAAUUAACUCUGUGAACUGUCUUCCUCUUAUCCCUCCACAAGCCAACCAAAAAAACACAAAAAAAUAACAAGAACUCAGCUGUUUCUAGGUCUGAGAACAACUUGGACUAAUCUGAUCUAUAAAAUAACAAUAACCCAAGUUAUUAACAAAAUAACAGAAUAACCUGACAAUAUUAUUUUAGAGGCAUUUUGAUAAAUUUGUAAUAAAUCUGCUUGUUAUUUUUUAAGAAAAGGUACAAUAAAGUAUGUCCAAGAAGCCUAGAAAGCUGUUUGUGGACCAGUGCAUGGGACAGACAAGAACAAAGGGUAAAACAAAAACAAUUAGUGCUUUGACCUGUUCAACACAGGCUUUUAUCUUAAACCAAUUAUGUAUCAGUCUUUGCAGUGUAAUGUUUGUCCUUCACAACACAGCACAGUGUUUGUCAUCAAAAGCAGCAUUUUACGCUGUGUGUUCAUGUAAAAAUGCUUGUAUUUUCCUGUGCAGUAAAACACCAGCAGUUACAACCUAACAGCCUACCUAAAGUAUUCAUUCAUCAGGAACAUAAGCAGGAGUAGCUGGGCAUUUAUUAGAAAAUAAGGAAGUCAGAACUAUCCUGUGAGAAGUAACCUGAAGCAAGUAGUAGUUCCUCAGUAAAGCUCAUUGCUGCAGUUUUGCUGGAAGAAGUGGCAGGAUAGUCUCCUUCACCUCUUCUUUCUUAAUAACCUUCUAAAAUAAUCCCAUAACAGCAAACUCUAACUGUCUACACUAAGAAUAAAAGAGCUGUUGUGCUAUACUUAGGACUACAAGUAGUUGGCAUUUUUAUAAAGGUCAUUGGAAAAACAGGUACUUGUUUUUUUCUUUUGCAAAUUGUUAACCUUUUGCUAUACAUACUUAUUUACUCCUCCUAAGAUUUUUAAAAAGCUCAUACUAAGAAAUGAACCAGCACAGUUGGCUGUGUAUUAUUACUGUACCCUUUGGCUAUUUUUAAUCUACUAUCAGUUUAAUGGUAUUUUUAAUGUUACAAGAACAUAGCCCUGCUAAAACAUUUGUAAACAGCUCACAGGGAGUGUUACAUCUAACUGCAGAGGGUCCCAUUAGCUGUAUCCAGCUAUGGUCUCUGAACAUUUGUCUUGAGUUUUGCCCUGAGCUCAAAAUACUUCCUUUUGAGGAUGUGAAAACAGAAAAAUUACGUAAGUCUGUCCAUAUAACCAUUUUCAUUCCAAAUGCUGCAAAAUUGAGAAACUAAUAAUGUAUGGUUUGGGCAGUUUUGCCCUAUUUUGAGUCCCAAAUACUUAAUCAUUUGCUUAGUUAGUUUCUAUCUUGUCAGUUAUAGAGCAGGAAAUAAAAAAUAGCCAGAUGAAUAAAAACUCACCUUCCACAGUAAGAAUACCAGCAGUGCAAGCAUCAGUAUUCCAGCAAGAAUAGCCACUGCAAUGAUCCACCAAGGUACUCCUGUAUAAAGGGCUACUGGUUUUGCAGGAAAGACAGUAACACGCACCUAAAGGACAGGAAAUAUGUGAAGAUGGAAAGAGCAUUUCCCAAGACCCAUGUGUAAGUAUAAAGCUACAACGUAUACAGUCUUACCUCUUUCUAGAGAUGUCUUCUACAAAAUGUUUUUGAAGAAAAAGACCUACUGUUAUCAUUUCAAUAGGGUAUUGAAUUCAAUUUUGAAUUGAACCCAGUUAAAAGGUAAAAAUGAUCAAUAAUUCAAAACUCAAUUAAAAAGUUAGACUUUAAGCUAGUUUUGCUUUAAAUUUGUCUGUUUCCUGGUCUUUUGAGAUGGCCGGAACCAUCACAACCAUAGCAUGUGUUUAGCAUCAAACACUGGACCUACCUGAGCAACUUCAUUUGUGAGUUUAACAUUCUUAGCUGCAGCAGGAACACUGAUAGAAGCCCUAACAAGAACGUCCAGGUAAUUCAUUUUGGAGAAGUCCUGUUCCAAAAUAAAAUAUGAAUAUCAGGCACAGAACAGGAAAGAACCCUGACCUUUCAAAAAGUGCAGGUAGGAAGACUUACCUCUAAGAAAGUGCUGUUCCACAGUCUGGAACGCAGCACAAUAGAUGCCUUGCUGUCUAAACCCUUCAGGGGACAUUUUAUGUCCACACACCGUGCAUUCACAUUGCAGUCCUGCAAUUACAAAUUUCUACAUGUAAAUAAGAUCAUGUUCUCACAGACUGUUUAAACCUCACCCCAAGAUUAAAAAUUGGAUUAUAUGCGUCAUACUUACGUGCAAGAACCAGUAUCUGUUUGUACCAACAGCAAUAGGAAAAUACCAUGAAGAUACUAUUACCUGUUUAUUUUAAUGUAGGUAACAAUGCAGAUAUUCUUUACUAGUUCUCUCUCAUAGUAGAUAAUCUAAAUGGUCAAAUUUUAAAAGCAUCCAUACUUGGAUUUAAGAUAAAAACAAGACAGAUAAAUUCUUUCACCCUGCCAAACCCAGAAAAGCCCUCUUAUGAGUGCAGGGGGACGUAUCUGACCAAGACUACAUACCAAGAUUUUGUGUUUUCUUUCUGCAAAUAAAGGAAAUGCCUGGCUCUCUGUGAUCUGCUUCUCUGCAACCUCACGCUUCCUUCUUGAGUUAUGGGAUUCCUAAAAGGGGAAAAAAAGUAAAAAGUAGUUUAUCGUAAGAAUGUUUUAAUUCUGACCUCAUGCAAGCAGCAAAACUAGAGUUCAGUGAAUGUUUUCUUCUUCCAAGAUCAGCAUAUGAGUGACAUCAUUAUAUAUCCCUAUUUACCUACAUUUAUUGCUAAUAGUAGAGUCAGGACAGCUAUUAAAAGUUGAGAUUACCUAAAGAAAGGCCAGCUGACUAUUUUCUUUAAAGGGCAAGGGGAGGUUUAGAUUUAUAAAGCCUUCAAUUCUAUUUCCCAUUUUUGUUCUAGAUAAUGGAUAUUAAUGGUACUAUGCUAAAAGAUUAAAGUUGUGCUGAGGCCACUAGAUGCAGGGGUUUUUGAACUGUAUAGUAAUUACACUCAGUAAAAAUUAUAUUAACUCAUAUAUCUGACAAAAAUGGAUUUUUGUGCAUGCAGUUUUAGUGGUGGAAAAUAAAACUCGCAUAUGAUCUUAGAUUAUAUGAAAAAAAGAAUAAAGGCUCGGGUUUUGGGAAGAAGAUCUUGCUAGAUAGGCACAAUGCAGGCCUAUAAAAAUUGCUUGAGAAAUUCUUUUUAUUAUAUUUGUUGUAAAAAUGUAAAUUUAAGUGCAAGCCCUUUGCCUUUAAAAAAAUUACAAUGAAUUCUCCCAGGCCGGGAAGAUGUUUACAGUUAUUUAUUGUUUUCUGUGUAAGGACUCAGGUUGGAUUUUUUUUUAUUAUUGAACAGAUUUCAGUAAUGCUGAUGGAAUUGGUUAGAGCAAUCAGCAGUUUCAUCUGCAGUAAGAGCAUAUGCCAGCAGUGCCCAUUGCAAAAACAGUCACCCCAACACAGCAUCUACCCUUUAGCAUAUUAGCCUCAUUAGCUGUUAUGAAGCCUGAUAAGCUUAAUCUGUGAUACAUUGUUCAUGUAUUGUACUUGUGAGCUUCUUUAGAUAAAAAAUAAAUCCUUCUAGAGCAAGCUCUGAUAUGCCCUACUGUCACAUGCUGUGGAGUGCUUUCAUGUUGUACCAACUGACGAACAGAAGACAGCGUAACAUAACAUACCGCAACAUUCAGACUGUUGAUUUCCUUCUCAGGUUGACAGGAGACUUUUUCCAAGCCUUUGGAGUCUAUUUUCAUCAAAUAAAGCAGCCAUUUGCCAUUACUAAUUUCUUUUGGCCACUGGAUGUCCAGGGAAGCAGUACCAAAUGUUUUCAGUGGUCUGCCCAAGUUAGUUACCUGUUAAAACAAAUGUUCUUUAAACUGCGAAAUACUUUUUAAAGGGAUUUUUUUUCUUGAAAACAUUAUUGACUGGGCCAAGCUUUAAACAUGCAGCUAGCAGGAAACUGAGAUCAGAUGAAAGGCACUCAAAGCAGUACAAAGCCAAAGCAUAUACUAAAAGUAGCGCACUUGGAUAGCAAGUAAAUACAAGAUUUAAACAUGUAAGAAUUAAAAUUCCCUAAGGUAAACUUUUAGUUGUUGAUUUUUAGAAAUCUAUUGUGAAACGACAACUCCAAUUUAGAGUUAACAAAUCAUGCAGUUACAUAACUGAGGCAAAGUGCAAGUUAUGAGGAACUCUGACACACAGAGAUAACCAGCUCUUGCUCUCGUAAGUAUGAAAGUUGUUUCCCCUCUUUUUUACUGGCCUAGUGUUACUGUUGAUGAUAGCAAGCUCUAAAUCAGAUAUUCAAACUGCUGCUACUGAAAUACAUGCGUGUAGGUACAGAAGGAAGUAAAGGACUGACGGAGAUGGACUUUUAUUUCUCUUAGUCUUCUCCUUGAUUUCUAUUUGGCAGAAGACAAAACCAGUGGAACGGACACACGCUCGGAGGGGCUCUCACAGUGUCUCGUGUGCCAGCUCAGCCCUGCAGGCACCACGUGCCCGUAACUCACCAGGCAGUGCCUGGGCAGGCCACAGGCAGGUUCUGCUCUAGCUUUUGUUCCCUCCCUGCAGGGGGUUAUGCCCUACAACUGAAUGUGCAGGAACUGCUCCACAAAAAAAAGUGUGCAGACAGACUCAGGUCACUUCCUCAAAAUAUGACCAUAAAACAUCAAAGCCUAAAGGAAGUCAGGAAUUUGGGACAAGGAAAGCCAAUUCAAAUAUAUCAACUUUUCCAAGUAUUCAUAUGUAUAAAAUGAUAAGCAGUGCGUUUGAUUAAAAGCAGCUGUUGACAUUAAUCUAAAUUACUCACUCUGAAUUCAUACUCAAUGAGGCUUCCAAUAUUAUCUUCAGAUUUCAUAGCACUCUCACCAACGAUGUUACCUCCAAAAUAUACCUGAGAAGGCUUAGCAAUUCUGUUCAGGUGGGGGUGGGGAAGGAAAAUAAUCAGAUUUAUAUGAGUCUGCAGCAGAACUGUCCCCAGAACCCCCAUUUGUUAUGCUAACAACACUCACCCAGUGAGCGAUAAAAGCAAUUCAAUAACCACUUUAGCACUGGCUGUAAUUGGAGUCAAAUUAACUUGAGUGCUCGUUCUACAAUGAAAAGGAAACAACGGUGUUUAUUUUACAAAUUUAGUGGUUUUCACUUUACUAUUAAAUUACUUUUGUGAAAGGAACAAAUGAAUUCAAAAUGUUUAUGACUGUCUAUAAAAACAUAAUGCAUGUACAUGAACACCAAGAAAACUUACGUUUCCAGCUUCAGGUUAAUGUCCAAGUCUGUUGUAUCAACAUUAACUUUAGUGGUACUUAAGAUCAGAUAAAAGGUUACCUAGACAAGAAAGAAUAUAAUGAAAUAUAUAAACAUUUUGUAAAAUAUAUUGAUAUAUGCAAUAUUAUAAAAAUGCACAAUCAAGUUCUGGAGUUAAAAAGACAGGUGUGAGUCAAAUUUCCAGUUGUGGCACACAGAAACUCUGGAUGACCGCAGUCAGAAAUGAGAUUUUACAACUUGAGUAAAACAGUUGCAACUUACAUUGGAAUUUCUCUUAAAAGGAUUUCCAAGUUCACAGUCUGCUUGAGAACCAUUUUGGUUAGCACCACACGUUAGCUGUUUUUCCUGAUUGAACAGAAUACAUUUAUCGGUAUUAAAAUUACCUGAAAAUAUUUUAAAAUUUUUAAUAUAUUUUCUCUUAAAAAUACUUACAGGAUAACCCCUCAUUUCCCUGAAUGCAGAGUAUGUCAGACUGUCUGGAAAAUUUGCAAUUAGUUUAGCUUCAUAUGCAUCUUCACCAUCUUGUGGAUUUUUUAGAUUAGAUGGAUUGUUUGUCACUGUUAUUUCCAGGGCAAUAUCUUUCUGAUCUUUCAGAACAAGCACUGGCACACCAUUUUCCCUACAGAAACAAGAGUAUGCAGGGUUGUGUGCAUUAGGAAAACCAGUGUGUAUGAAAGUUUGAUUCUUCUCAUGGUUUACCUGAAUAGAAUUUCCUGUAUUAGCAAGAAUUCUUGUAAGGCUGUAAACACAUGAACAGUCACAGUUUUUUCCCCCAGACCAGUAUUUCAUCUCUGAAAGUGGCCAGCAGUUAACAGGACAGAACAGACUGAUAAAUCCCUCAAGUAAUCAAGUUUAUAGUAUUUCUGAACCAGCACUUUCAUCUGAUUCACGUCCAAUAGUGAUGAAUUUUGUCCAGAUCAAUCUACUGAUCCACUUUUUUCUUCUAAAGUGCAAGUGACUUUGGCUUCUGAGUCAGAGUGUGGCCCUCACUGCUAAAGGUGACUGACUGCUGACAGUGAGUAAACACACCUCCUGUUUGUUUUACCCCUUUUCUGGUUUCACUGGCCCUGCAGGGAGGAGGGAUGCAGCAGGGUGCUGGAUGUGUGUGACACUGAAAUGGUUACUCUGUUUAUUUCUCUAACUGCUUGUCUUGGGCUACUAGACUAUACUAUAUUGAGUUGUCAUCUUCACAAUAAAAUUUCAUCUACAAAACAGUUAACAGUGUCACACACAGUAAACUACUGCAAGGUUGGUUUAUAAAUUCAUUUCUCCAGGUGUCAAAAAUGUCUUUCUUUUAGUCCCCACCUGCACAGUUGUGGCCACUUUGUAUCCAUUUGACUCUGUACCACUUUGCUUCUCAAGCCCAUCCCCUCUUCCCUCGUCCUGGCAGAUCAGUACUAUUACACUGGGCUGUGUUUGCCAGACAGAAAACAAAGCUGCUCUCUCUCCCAGAACCCCCUCCUAAAAGUUCUUCUAAGCACUUGUUAGUGCUUUGAACCUUAGCGAUGCAUUAAUCAAGGCUUACAGCGGUAGAGAAGUGAACCUGUCUUCAUUUCCUUCUCUAGUGCAAAACCGGUACUGAAGUUUCAGAUUGCUGUGACAUUCAUUGUCUUCUCCACAUCCUUCUUUUAAGAACUCCACCUAAAGAAAAACCAAAGCAAUUCUAAUGCCUGACAUAUGAUAGUAGCUUAAAACAAGAUUUCUCCAGUGCACUGCAUAAAGCAUCUACACGGAACUCAGAGACACUUCCCUGGACAGAGAUUCAUUUGAAUUUAGAAUUGGUAUAAGAUCUGGAAGUGCACUCUCUUUUCUUGUGGAUGGUGAGCUAGACUCCAGGCC